GGCUUUUUAGUAUUAUUUUUUGGUAUUUUUGUUUUCCAAACAAAAGGUUUUUUUAAGCUA
rnacentral:tRNA from 1 species